GAUAUCCUACGGGGGGCAGCAGUAGGGAAUAUUGCUCAAUGGGGGAAACCCUGAUGCAGCGACGCCGCGUGAGCGAAGAAGUAUUUCGGUAUGUAAAGCUCUAUCAGCAGGGAAGAAAAUGACGGUACCUGAGUAAGAAGCUCCGGCUAAAUACGUGCCAGCAGCCGCGGUAAUACGUACGGAGCAAGCGUUAUCCGGAUUUACUGGGCGUAAAGGGAGCGUAGGCGGCCUGCCAAGUCUGAUGUGAAAUACCGGGGCUCAACCCCGGGGCUGCAUUGGAAACUGGCAGGCUGGAGUGCUGGAGG
rnacentral:rRNA from 1 species